rnacentral:rRNA from 1 species
UCUGUCUGAAGGUAAAGAAAGUCUAACCUGCCCACUGAUUAGAAUUUAUUAAAUGGCCGCAGUAUUAUGACUGUGCAAAGGUAGCAAAAUCAUUAGGUUUUUAAAUGAGAUCUUGUAUGAAUGGUUGGACAAAAGAAAAACUGUCUUUAUAUUAAAUUUUAAAUUUUACUUUUAAGUGAAAAGGCUUAAAUGUUCUAGAGGGACGAUAAGACCCUAUAAAACUUUAUAUUGUAAUUAUAUUUAAUUGAAUUUUAUUAAUAGCAAAAAUUUAAUGUAAUUAUUUAUUAUGUUGGGGCGACAAAGGUAUAAGUAGUAGUAACUGUUUAGAAACUAAACACUUAUUUGUGGGAAAAUAAUAGAUCCUAGUUAAAGAAUGAAAGUUUAAGUUACUUUAGGGAUAACAGUAUAAUUUUUUUUGAGAGCUCGUAUCGAAAAAAAAGAUUUUAACCUCGAUGUUGAAUUAAAAUAUCUAUAUAAUGCAGCUGUUGUAUAAKAGGGUCUGUUCGC